CACCUCUCCCGAAUCUGAACAUCCCCAGUCCCCACCUCCACCAGCCCGCCGGUGCUCCUCCUUCGGUCAUUCGCUCUUGGAUCCUCGCCGUCGUGCACACAUCAUCCCAUCCCGUCGCCUCCCCGCCGUGCCUAGCUACUCCUCCACCGGCCGCGCCCCCCCCCCCCCCCCCCCCCCCCCCCCCCGCAUUACCACCGCUAGGCCGCAGUGUCUCCCCCAGCCGGAUCCCGCCGAGAUCCGCGAGGCCACGGCAAUGGCGGAUCACGGCGAGGCCACGGGCUUCCUCCCUGCCCACACACCGGCCACGGGUGCUCCCACCUACCCCAUCUCCUUGCUCAGAUCCAUCCUCCAGCUCCUUCAAGCACCACCAACCCCUUCCCUCACCUCUUGCCUCCCCUGCCCUUUUCUCUCCCCAUCAGCCAUAUCCAGUCCCUGAAGGCUGACCUUGUGCACGCGGCGUCAGUGCCAUUGAUGUAACCACGAUUCCAUUGUCCCUAUCGGUGGAGAAGGUCGGCUGGACAGGAGCAUGGGUCGACGCGAGACGAUGGUGGACAUGGCGUUUCCCUUCGAUGACACCAGCGAACACGGCCAGAUCUGUGGCCAGAAAAGCCAUGGCGAUGAACUCCUCUUGACGUCCCGCGAGCGCUGGGCGACGCUUGAUGUGGUGACUGCAGAUUGUAUAGCUUCGGGGAGAGUAGUAGGCCAGAUCUAGAAAAACAUCUGUAAUUUCAAGUUUUUUGUUGUGUAUUUCUUCCUUUUGAUUGAAAAAAAUGUUAUUUAUUUGGUA